AACCAUAGAAACCUGCGGAGUACCUGCGGAAGGAUCAUUAUCAAGAGUGUAUGACCCCCUUAUAAAAUAGUGGGGUUAACCUCCCGUCCUUUGAAGGUCCCUCUUUGUUGAGGGUAAUUUGAACCCUUCUGCUUCGGUGGGCUUACUCACCGGAACAACCUCAAAAUUCUUUGUUCAACAGUUCAGUCCGAGUGGUAUAUUUUAAAAUUUUGAAAAACUUUUAACAAUGGAUCUCAGAUC
rnacentral:misc_RNA from 1 species